rnacentral:rRNA from 1 species
AUACAGAGGGUGCGAGCGUUAAUCGGAAUUACUGGGCGUAAAGCGUGCGUAGGCGGCUUCUUAAGUCGGAUGUGAAAUCCCUGAGCUUAACUUAGGAACUGCAUUCGAUACUGGGAGGCUAGAGUAUGGGAGAGGAUGGUAGAAUUCCAGGUGUAGCGGUGAAAUGCGUAGAGAUCUGGAGGAAUACCGAUGGCGAAGGCAGCCAUCUGGCCUAAUACUGACGCUGAGGUACGAAAGCAUGGGGAGCAAACAGGAUUAGAUACCCUAGUAGUCC